GGGCUCAUAGCUCAUCUGGGAGAGCGUCCGCCUUGCAAGCGGAAGGUGGCCGGUUCGAGUCCGGCUGGGUCCA
rnacentral:tRNA from 1 species